rnacentral:rRNA from 1 species
UUAAGUGACUAAGCGUAUACGGUGGAUGCCUAGGCAGUUAGAGGCGAUGAAGGACGUGUAAGUCUGCGAUAAGCUGUGGAGAGCCGACAAAAUGCUUUGACCCACAGAUUUCCGAAUGGGGAAACCCACCGCUUCGGCGGUAUCAUUAAGUGAAUACAUAGCUUAAUGAAGCGAACGAGGGGAACUGAAACAUCUAAGUACCCUUAGGAAAAGAAAUCAACAGAGAUUCCCCUAGUAGCGGCGAGCGAACGGGGAGCAGCCGAGUAGUAAUGAAGUAGUGGAAUGUGUUGGAAAGCACAGCGAUACAGGGUGAUAGCCCCGUACACGAAGCGUCAUUAUUGCCAUAUUAAGUAGGUCGGGACACGAGUUAUCUUGACUGAAGAUGGGGGGACCAUCCUCCAAGGCUAAAUACUCCUAACUGACCGAUAGUGAACCAGUACCGUGAGGGAAAGGCGAAAAGAACCCCUGUGAGGGGAGUGAAAUAGAACCUGAAACCGUAUACGUACAAGCAGUAGGAGCAGGCUCUCGCAAGAGAAUAGUCCUGUGACUGCGUACCUUUUGUAUAAUGGGUCAGCGACUUAUAUUUAGUAGCAAGGUUAACCGAAUAGGGGAGCCGUAGCGAAAGCGAGUGUUAACUGCGCGUUGAGUUGCUAGGUAUAGACCCGAAACCGAGUGAUCUAGCCAUGGGCAGGUUGAAGGUUGAGUAACAUCAACUGGAGGACCGAACCGACUAACGUUGAAAAGUUAGCGGAUGACUUGUGGCUGGGGGUGAAAGGCCAAUCAAACUCGGAGAUAGCUGGUUCUCCCCGAAAGCUAUUUAGGUAGCGCCUCGGACGAAUACCACAGGGGGUAGAGCACUGUUAAGGCUAGGGGGUCAUCCCGACUUACCAACCCUUUGCAAACUCCGAAUACCUGUGAGUACUAUCCGGGAGACACACGGCGGGUGCUAACGUCCGUCGUGAAGAGGGAAACAACCCAGACCGCCAGCUAAGGUCCCUAAAUAUUACUAAGUGGGAAACGAUGUGGAAAGGCAUAGACAGCUAGGAGGUUGGCUUAGAAGCAGCCACCCUUUAAAGAAAGCGUAAUAGCUCACUAGUCGAGUCGGUCUGCGCGGAAGAUGUAACGGGGCUAAGUAAUAUACCGAAGCUGCGGACGCAAAGUUUACUUUGCGUGGUAGGGGAGCGUUGUGUAAGUGGCUGAAGGUGAGCUGAGAGGCGAGCUGGACAUAUCACAAGUGCGAAUGCUGACAUGAGUAACGAUAAUGGGGGUGAAAAACCCCCACGCCGGAAGACCAAGGUUUCCUGUCCCAUGCUAAUCAGGGCAGGGUAAGUCGGCCCCUAAGGCGAGGCAGAAAUGCGUAGUCGAUGGGAAACGGAUUAAUAUUUCCGUACUUGGUAUAUCAGUGAAGGGGGGACGGAGAAAGUUAUGCAAGCCUGGCGUUGGUUGUCCAGGUGAAAGUGCGUAGAGUUGGACCUUAGGCAAAUCCGGGGUCCUACAUGCUCGAGACACGAGACGAGACUCUAAGGAGUUGAAGUUGCAAAUACUAUGCUUCCAGGAAAAGCCUCUAAACUUAUGAUAUAUCGAACCGUACCCCAAACCGACACAGGUGGUCAGGUAGAGAAUACUAAGGCGCUUGAGAGAACUUGGGUGAAGGAACUCGGCAAAAUCGUACCGUAACUUCGGGAGAAGGUACGCCUCUGUUUGUGAUUGAACUUGCUUCAUGAGCGAACGGGGGCCGCAGUGAAAUGGUGGCUGGAACUGUUUAUUAAAAACACAGCACUGUGCUAAAUCGAAAGAUGACGUAUACGGUGUGACGCCUGCCCGGUGCCGGAAGGUUAAUUGAUGGGGUUAUCUUCGGAGAAGCUCUUGAUCGAAGCCCCGGUAAACGGCGGCCGUAACUAUAACGGUCCUAAGGUAGCGAAAUUCCUUGUCGGGUAAGUUCCGACCUGCACGAAUGGCGUAA